rnacentral:rRNA from 1 species
UACGAGAGGUGCAAACGUUAUUCGGAAUCAUUGGGCGUAAAGGGUGCGUAGGUGGCGGGGUAAGUCAGGUGUGAAAUCUCGGGGCUCAACCCCGAAACUGCACUUGAUACUGCCUUGCUCGAGUACUGGAGAGGAGAUUGGAAUUUACGGUGUAGCAGUGAAAUGCGUAGAUAUCGUAAGGAAGACCAGUGGCGAAGGCGAAUCUCUGGACAGUUACUGACACUGAGGCACGAAGGCCAGGGGAGCAAACGGG